AUUGAACGCUGGCGGCAGGCCUAACACAUGCAAGUCGAACGGUAACAGGAAACAGCUUGCUGUUUCGAUGACGAGUGGCGGACGGGUGAGUAAUGUCUGGGAAACUGCCUGAUGGAGGGGGAUAACUACUGGAAACGGUAGCUAAUACCGCAUAACGUCGCAAGACCAAAGAGGGGGACACCUGGGCCUCUCGCCAUCGGAUGUGUCCAGUUGGGAUUUGCUUGUUGGUGGGGUAACGGCACACCAAGGCGACGAUCCCUAGCUGGUCUGAGAGGAUGACCAGCCACACUGGAACUGAGACACGGUCCAGACUCCUACGGGAGGCAGCAGUGGGGAAUAUUGGACAAUGGGCGCAAGCCUGAUGCAGCCAUGCCGCGUGUAUGAAGAAGGCCUUCGGAUUGUAAAGUACUUUCAGCUGGGAGGAAGGGAGUAAAGUUAAUACCUUGGCUCAUUGACGUUACCCGCAGAAGAAGCACCGGCUAACUCCGUG
rnacentral:rRNA from 1 species